GUAGCGAAUGGCUCUCGGGCACGUUGCCAAGGUUGGGGUCGUGGGUUCGAAUCCCAUCGCCCGCUCCA
rnacentral:tRNA from 1 species